GGCGGCAUGAGCCCUGCGGCGGGCAGCGAUGCCCAAGGAGCGGCCGCUGUGGCGGCGCGCAGCCUUCCGUCUUUGCGUGCUCUCGGCCGCGCUGCUGCUCUGCCUACAGCUGGCCAUGCGGCGCUCCUGGUGCCCGGAGGAGAAGCUCCGGCUGCCCGCCGUGGCGGCGUCGGGGCGGGCGGUCCCCCAGCCCCGCGGCACGGCGGCGGCCCCGGGGCGGCGGCGGGUGACCUACGUGCGGAGCGGGCGGCGGGGCGGCCGGCCCGGCUGCUGUCCCCCGGGCAGGAAGACUGUAAGGUGGCACAUUGAACUGCAGCCGUGGGCAAGUCCAACUCCUUCCUUGAACUAUGAAGCCUUGAGGUUCCUGAAGUACAUCAGCACUUCUCAAAUUUCAUGCGAGCACAUGAACGUGAGCAGCCUGAGGGGCAACUCUGAAGCCACGAAGAGGCCCUGGUCAGUCUGUCUUGAUGAGAGGUUUAGCCUCAUCCACCGGCUCAGAAACAAGCAGUGCCGUCUCUAUUCCCUGGGACUGGGCAGUGAUGACAACCAGUUUGAGAUCAGCAUGGCUAACAGUGGAUGCGAGGUGCAUCGCUUCGACCCCAGCAUUAAGUCAGCUCACAUCCAGGAGGGUCAGCACCUCUGGUAUCAUCGCCUGUCCGUUGACUGGAGGGAUCCCAACCCAGCCAUUGCUACACACAAACUUCACAGCAACACAAAGAAGCUGGGCACAAUAUUGAAUGAAUUUGGACAUCAGAAGAUUGAUGUCCUCAAGGCAGACGUGGAGAGCGCGGAGUGGAAAAUUUUGGAAAACCUGAUCCUGGAGGAUGUUGUUGAGCAGAUAGGGCAGCUGGUCUUUGAGGUGCACAUCCACUGGCCUGGUUUUGAGGUCAGCGGCAAUGACAGCACUGUGGUGCGGUACUGGUACAGUCUGCUCCGAGAACUGGAGCUGAAGGACUUCAGGCUUUUCCAUACCUACAAAGACUUAUUAAAACCACAGAUGCUUCUGAAAAAGGAAGCCUUCAAUGCCAGUAGCUGUUACAGACUGAGCUGGGUGAAUACAAGAUGGAAAUAGCAGAAAGGAAUCUACGAUGCAUGACUGUGAGCCACCUGUCCCGUAACAUUAUUGAAGAGGACCUUAGGGUCACUGGCUGAAGUUGCCAGAUAAGUAUACAGCGAUUGCUGGUGAAAUGGACUGGCUUUUGUUUUUAAACAUUGUCGAAAGAGCUGAAAGUGGAACCUGGUCUUUUUGGCUUGUUUUUAGUUUAGGUGAAGUUCCACAGUGCCUUUUCUAGCACUGCAUCUGGCUUCCUACUGGCUCCUUGCCAUGGAGCUCCCUGGCCCUGCCUCUCUCCCUGCCAGGGGCACACGGACGCUUUGCAGAGGUGGUGACUCUGGCCUUGGGGACACAGGGACAUGUCCUGCUCUGCAUGUAGGCUCUGAGCACUGGCGUCCGAGUUGGGUGCAGGGUGCUCCCAGCAACCCGGCUCAGCCAUUCUCUGAGAAGCUAAGCAAUGAGAGGGAGCUAAAAAGGCUUGAAAUGCCUGAAUGAGUCAGGCCUUGAGCGUCUGUGUUGGCCACGGGGGCUGCAGACCUUGGGCUUCUUUGGAAGAGGCUUCAAAGCCCCCUGCCAUGAUGGUGAGGGCCUGGCUGGUGCAGGACUGGAGAGGAUUUGAAUCUCUUCAGUGAAGACAUGGCACAUCAGAGCUCAACACCCAGCUCAGGAACCAUGGCAGCAGCUCACUCCUACUCACAUCCUUACCAGUCCAGAAAGAACAGACUCUUCUUUCCCUACGUGAUCCUCAGGACACUCACCACCUCCUUUCUCUCUCUAAAUUCUACCAUUUCCACAUUUCCUGCCCCAGCACUUACACAGGUGUGAGAUUGGACAAAAUAUACAAUUGGUACCAGCGCUCCUCUUGUGAAAGCAGCCUGUGAUGCGUUUCUGGUACCCGUGAUUACUGAGAUGGGAAAGUAAAUGGAAAACACAUAGAUUUGGUGUACUGAAGGUGUGAAUGGACAGUGGAAAGACUGAAAUGCAGCUUUAGGCAGCUGGUCUAAAAUCCAUUAAGUUCCAAGUUCACUCCCAGAGCCCUGACUUCAACAAGUACUCUUUGAAAGAACGGUCUUCUUGUUCAUCAAUCCUUCCAGAACAGCAGAUUUAAAAUACAAAUAAAGUCUUAGGAAAAAAGUCCUUCCAGUUUGAGAUGCUUUGCAUCUCAGCUACUGAAGUGCCUUAUCUCCCAUCCUACUGCUAAUUAUAGCCAUUAAUCCUUUGGUAUUGUUUAAUUGAUGAGCAGCUGUUGACUUAUAGUAAGCAACGGAGCGUAAUUCAAAACUGUAAUUAAAACUGAUCAAUGGAUAAAUUUGUUACAUGCUUUUCUUUCCAUUAUGAGCUCAAGAGAAGAGCAGACGGUGUUAAAAUGACUUUUCUUUCCUCCCUCCUUCCAACUUAAAUUAGUUUUGUAUGAAUGGGGCAAGAAAAUGAGCUUAUCAUCUGAAUUCUGGUCCAACUGAGAAUUAAAAUGCCAAAUGAUAAGAAACAUUUCACGUGGGCAGUGGUGGAUAGAAGAAGUGAAUGGAGAUAAGCAAAGUUUCUUUAUAAAAUGUUUUAUUAAAAAUAAGUCUUUUAAAGAGAGGAGAAAGUGUGGCAUGUAUACAUGUAAAUUGUCACAGUUAAUUGUCACAAACUGCCUGGAACUUACUUAUAAUACAACCUAUCCACUGUGU